UGCGCGCAAGGGUCGCCGCCCGGUCGAGGAGAGAUGCGCGCCGCACCUGCCCCGUUCGCGGGGCCGGGGAAGCCGUUCGAGCAGCGUCGUGUCGCGGUCCGGGACUGUCCUCAGUCCCGGGUCGUCUCGGCGCGGUUCCGAGCGGUCGCUCCCUCGCGAGGUGCCGCGGGUCAGCGGCUGACGCCAGCCACCUUCCCGACCCGUCUUGAAACACGGACCAAGGAGUCUAACAUGUGCGCGAGCCGCGGGGCAGUACGAAACCCGUAAGGCGAAAUGAAGGUGAACGCCGGCGCGGUCCGGCGGAGGUUGGAUCCCGUCCCGUCGGGGCGGGCGCACUACCGGCCGAUCUUCUCCGCCCUGUCGGCGAGGUCGAGCGAGAGCGUGCAAGUCGGGACCCGAAAGAUGGUGAACUAUGCCUGAGGAGGUUGAAGCCAGAGGAAACUCUGGUGGAGGACCGUAGCGAUUCUGACGUGCAAAUCGAUCGUCAAAUUUGGGUAUAGGGGCGAAAGACUAAUCGAACCGUCUAGUAGCUGGUUCCCUUCGAAGUUUCCCUCAGGAUAGCUGGCGCUCUGUCGCAGUUUUAUCUGGUAAAGCGAAUGAUUAGAGGUCUUGGGGGCGAAACGCCCUCAACCUAUUCUCAAACUUUAAAUUGGUAAGAAGCCCGACUCGCUCGUUUGGAGCCGGGCAUGGAAAGCGAGUGCCAAGUGGGCCACUCUUGGUAAGCAGGACUGGCGAUGCGGGAUGAACCGAACGCCGGGUUAAGGCGCCCGACGCGACGCUCAUCAGAGCCCACAAAAGGUGUUGGUUGAUAUAGACAGCAGGACGGUGGCCAUGGAAGUCGGAAACCGCUAAGGAGUGUGUAACAACUCACCUGCCGA
rnacentral:ncRNA from 1 species